UGGAACCUUUCAACCGUUCGGCGUUCACUUACUACGAUACAAAAAUGCGGAGAUAAUUGCUCACUAACCAGUUAGGCCUACUAUUCGAUGGUUGUCACUGCUCUUUCCACCUACCUGGAUUGGUGUAAUUGCCAGUGGACAUCUGUUGCGCCACUUCCGGUAACACAGCCGAAACAACCCGUUUUCCAAGUGUGUCUCGUCAACGAAACCAGAUCUUUCAAUGGAACCAUUCGGCUAUUUAAGGGGAAUUUGACUGGUAUCCAAAACACGGGAUGCACCUUCAACAUUUAUGCAGCUGCUGUUCAGCGAGUUCAAAUGACUUGCUCUGUCGCAAAAAUGAACAGCUACUUAUUCACCAGUUACAUCGAAAUAUAGCUAACUGAAAUGGACGGUGCAAAUUUUAUCCUUUCAGUCCAUCGAGAACGAGACUUACAUUUCGUUUGGCAAUAUGUUGUGGUCGUGAAGUUGUCGUUCAGCACCUCAGGCUGGUUCCAUCGCAACUGGACAACAGUACAGGAAAGCCGGACCGAAACAUAUCCACACAAUUACCGACAACGACGAUCUCCGAUCCUGUGACGACAACAGCAGAGUCGCAGUCUCUUCUUUUCACACUUUGUUAGGAUCGAGGUCAGGAUGUUGAAGUGUAUUCCUCCCGUGGACAAUUACAGCCAAAUUCGAAAUCAAAUGAGGCGACUCCUUGUUAUUUGACAAUCAAUGCACCAGAUGAUCAUCAAUGCAGAUAGCCUGCUCUGUCUUCAAUUUCAAGAGCGUAGCGAAAGUUUUCUAUAUGUUAGUGUAGUUCUUUAUUUUCCAAUUGCUGCGUGUUACCCUCUAUUACUGUUCUAAGCCUAACUACUAACUGACUAAAUACCUACCCAUCCUCGCAAG